CACGUAGGGUGCGAGCGUUGUCCGGAAUUAUUGGGCGUAAAGAGCUCGUAGGCGGUCUGUCACGUCGGGAGUGAAAACUCAGGGCUUAACCCUGAGCCUGCUUCCGAUACGGGCAGACUAGAGGUAUGCAGGGGAGAACGGAAUUCCUGGUGUAGCGGUGAAAUGCGCAGAUAUCAGGAGGAACACCGGUGGCGAAGGCGGUCCUCUGGGCAUUACCCGACGCUGAGGAGCGAAAGUGUGGGGAGCGAACAGG
rnacentral:rRNA from 1 species